rnacentral:sRNA from 1 species
UUUGCCAUGAGUCCAUCUAACUUCAGCAGCAGUGACUGUCAGGAUGAAGAAGGCCGGAAAGGAAACAAACUUUACUACAAUUUUCCCUGGGGAAAGGAGCUAAUAGAAACCCUGUGGAACUUAGGAGAUCAUGAACUUUUACACAUGUAUCCUGGCAAUGUGUCUAAAUUACAUGGCCGAGAUGGACGAAAAAAUGUGGUUCCUUGUGUUCUGUCUGUAAAUGGGGACCUAGACCGAGGCAUGCUGGCCUACCUCUAUGAUUCUCUCCAGCUGACAGAGAACUCCUUUACAAGAAAGAAAAAUCUUCAUAGAAAGCCCCUAUUAAGGUUGCUUUGGAUGUAGGAAGAGGCCCCACAUUGGAACUAAGACAGGUUUGUCAAGGGCUAUUUAAUGAGUUACUAGAAAAUGGGAUUUCUGUGUGGCCUGGUUAUUUGGAAACUAUGCAGUCCUCAUUGGAACAACUUUAUUCAAA